rnacentral:lncRNA from 1 species
GCGGGCGGCGGCCGUCUCCUCAAGCUCACUGCGCCCCGAAGUGCCGCGACGGGGACGCAGCUGGGCAGCAUCUGGAUCUGCCACCCGCAGCCAUUCCGGAGCUCAGCCACGCCGGACGCGGGAGGCGAGGCCGGCUGUGGAGCCGCAGCUGUGGUGGGCGGACUCUGUGGGAAAAGCGCAAAGCCCCUCACGCCGCGCUCAUCAGCUUGCUCACCUGAGCGUGCCGUCCCACCUGAGCCCCGCGCUGCAACACCAAGUUCUGGGAAAGGAUUGCGCCUGGCCUUUGCUGUAACCAGAGAGACAGCCCCAGGAAGUUAAGUCUUGAUGAGCAAGUUCCGAACUUGGCCUGAAGAAGCCCCAAAGAAAAAGGGGAAAAAUUCGGCCUUGGAAGUUAAGGUUUACUUGAGGGGAAGCUAAGGUGAUUGUGUUGAGGUCUGCGAGCACAGAGAAGACCAGCCAGGCCCAAGCAGAAGAAACACUCGAGACAAGCAUCCAAAGAAACGAAUUGAAGACAGUGGCCAACUCUUGAGUAUCCUGACUGUAAGAAGGAGCCGUUGGCCUCAGAAGUUCAUAUAAAGAAGAUAGUUAAAUGUGCCAUUGCUGUACUUACUGCAACCAGAGCUGUCCAACCAGAGAAGCAAAUUAAGGUUUAUAUGUGGGACCUCCGUAUAGACCAUUCCAGAACUAAUGGUAGCCUACUCACCCCCAAAGCCAGUCCCACUUAGGUACAUACAUGCUUUGGCAACUUGUGGAGUGUGUCUCCAUCCUAAACAAAGUAGCAUGAUUUCACCUAAAAAAUGAUAACGAUCCCGUUUCCAACUAAGACUAGCGGAUGGUUAACCCACAUACAAAUAGGCAAUUUGCUGAAGUCUUUGAGAACAUUUUUGCAAAUGCUAUAAAAAAAAAAAAUGAAUGUCAUCUUCCAAACUCAAGAUCUAGCCAGAGUAAAUCAAACAGACAAGAAGAAAGUCUUCGCAAGGAGAGAUCUGAUCUUUGAUGAUGUUUCCAAUAUAAAUCAAACAGUUCUGAGCCAAGUCUAGCAUCAUUGAUUAAAUGAACAGGGUUUGGUUAUCCGUAAUUUGGUGUAUACAAAAGUGAGGCAAAAAGCAGUCACAGAACAACCAGGAAAUUUGAUUAGGAUCACUUAUACUCAUUUAAAUAAUCGGAUUGCCUUGUACAAAUGUUAUAU